CAACCUCAACUCAUAUGGGACUGCCCCCUGAAUUUAAGCGUAUUAAUUAGGGGAGGAAAAGAAACUAACAAGGAUUUUCUUAGUAGCGGCGAGCGAAAAGAAAUCAGUUCAGCACUAAGUCACUUUGUCUAUAUGGCAAAUGUGAGAUGCAGUGUACGGAACAUCAACAUUCUAGUAUGAGAAGUUAACGAUUUAAGUCCUUCUUAAAUGAGGCCAUUUACCCAUAGAGGGUGCCAGGCCCGUAUAACGUUAAUGAUUACUAGAUGGUGUUUCCAAAGAGUCGUGUUGCUUGAUAGUGCAGCACUAAGUGGGUGGUAAACUCCAUCUAAAACUAAAUAUAACCAUGAGACCGAUAGUAAACAAGUACCGUGAGGGAAAGUUGAAAAGAACUCUGAAUAGAGAGUUAAAUAGUACGUGAAACUGCUUAGAGGUUAAGCCCGAUGAACCUGAAUAUCCGUUAUGGAAAAUUCAUCAUUAGAAUUGUAAUAUUUUAAACAAUAUUAUAAUAAUAGUGUGCAUUUUUUCCAUAUAAGGACAUUGUAAUCUAUUAGCAUAAAUAUUUAUCAUAAAAUUAUGUCUGAUUGCUUAUUUGAAUUAUAUGCUUGGCAUUUUAACAUAAAAUAAAAGAUAUAAAUUUGAUAAAGUGCUGAUAGAUUUAUAUGAUUACAGUGCGUUAAUUUUUCGGAAUUAUAUAAUGGCAUAAUUAUCAUUGAUAUUUGUGUUUAUUAUAUGCAUUUGUAUGAUUAACAAUGCGAAAGAUUCAUGAUACCUUCAUGACCCGCCCUGAAUCACGGACCAAGGAGUCUAACAUAUGUGCAAGUUAUUGGAAUAUAAACCUAAUAACGUAAUUAACUUGACUAUUAAUGGGAUUAGUUUUUUAACAAUGUAUACUUAAGUAACGCAAUCCCAGGGCGCUCCACAUACUUAAGUAUAAUAAUAUAUACAUUACUUAUGC
rnacentral:ncRNA from 1 species